rnacentral:rRNA from 1 species
GAUUAAGUUAUUAAGGGCGCACGGUGGAUGCCUUGGCACUAGAAGCCGAUGAAGGACGUUACUAACGACGAUAUGCUUUGGGGAGCUGUAAGUAAGCUUUGAUCCAGAGAUUUCCGAAUGGGGAAACCCAGCAUGAGUUAUGUCAUGUUAUCGAUGUGUGAAUACAUAGCAUAUUAGAAGGCACACCCGGAGAACUGAAACAUCUUAGUACCCGGAGGAAGAGAAAGAAAAUUCGAUUCCCUUAGUAGCGGCGAGCGAAACGGGAAGAGCCCAAACCAACAAGCUUGCUUGUUGGGGUUGUAGGACACUCUAUACGGAGUUACAAAGGACGACAUUAGACGAAUCAUCUGGAAAGAUGAAUCAAAGAAGGUAAUAAUCCUGUAGUCGAAAAUGUUGUCUCUCUUGAGUGGAUCCUGAGUACGACGGAGCACGUGAAAUUCCGUCGGAAUCUGGGAGGACCAUCUCCUAAGGCUAAAUACUCUCUAGUGACCGAUAGUGAACCAGUACCGUGAGGGAAAGGUGAAAAGCACCCCGGAAGGGGAGUGAAAUAGAACCUGAAACCGUGUGCUUACAAGUAGUCAGAGCCCGUUAAUGGGUGAUGGCGUGCCUUUUGUAGAAUGAACCGGCGAGUUACGAUUUGAUGCAAGGUUAAGCAGUAAAUGUGGAGCCGUAGCGAAAGCGAGUCUGAAUAGGGCGUUUAGUAUUUGGUCGUAGACCCGAAACCAGGUGAUCUAUCCUUGGUCAGGUUGAAGUUCAGGUAACACUGAAUGGAGGACCGAACCGACUUACGUUGAAAAGUGAGCGGAUGAACUGAGGGUAGCGGAGAAAUUCCAAUCGAACCUGGAGAUAGCUGGUUCUCUCCGAAAUAGCUUUAGGGCUAGCCUCAAGUGAUGAUUAUUGGAGGUAGAGCACUGUUUGGACGAGGGGCCCCUCUCGGGUUACCGAAUUCAGACAAACUCCGAAUGCCAAUUAAUUUAACUUGGGAGUCAGAACAUGGGUGAUAAGGUCCGUGUUCGAAAGGGAAACAGCCCAGACCACCAGCUAAGGUCCCAAAAUAUAUGUUAAGUGGAAAAGGAUGUGGCGUUGCCCAGACAACUAGGAUGUUGGCUUAGAAGCAGCCAUCAUUUAAAGAGUGCGUAAUAGCUCACUAGUCGAGUGACACUGCGCCGAAAAUGUACCGGGGCUAAACAUAUUACCGAAGCUGUGGAUUGUCCUUUGGACAAUGGUAGGAGAGCGUUCUAAGGGCGUUGAAGCAUGAUCGUAAGGACAUGUGGAGCGCUUAGAAGUGAGAAUGCCGGUGUGAGUAGCGAAAGACGGGUGAGAAUCCCGUCCACCGAUUGACUAAGGUUUCCAGAGGAAGGCUCGUCCGCUCUGGGUUAGUCGGGUCCUAAGCUGAGGCCGACAGGCGUAGGCGAUGGAUAACAGGUUGAUAUUCCUGUACCACCUAUAAUCGUUUUAAUCGAUGGGGGGACGCAGUAGGAUAGGCGAAGCGUGCGAUUGGAUUGCACGUCUAAGCAGUAAGGCUGAGUAUUAGGCAAAUCCGGUACUCGUUAAGGCUGAGCUGUGAUGGGGAGAAGACAUUGAGUCUUCGAGUCGUUGAUUUCACACUGCCGAGAAAAGCCUCUAGAUAGAAAAUAGGUGCCCGUACCGCAAACCGACACAGGUAGUCAAGAUGAGAAUUCUAAGGUGAGCGAGCGAACUCUCGUUAAGGAACUCGGCAAAAUGACCCCGUAACUUCGGGAGAAGGGGUGCUCUUUAGGGUUAACGCCCAGAAGAGCCGCAGUGAAUAGGCCCAAGCGACUGUUUAUCAAAAACACAGGUCUCUGCUAAACCGUAAGGUGAUGUAUAGGGGCUGACGCCUGCCCGGUGCUGGAAGGUUAAGAGGAGUGGUUAGCUUCUGCGAAGCUACGAAUCGAAGCCCCAGUAAACGGCGGCCGUAACUAUAACGGUCCUAAGGUAGCGAAAUUCCUUGUCGGGUAAGUUCCGACCCGCACGAAAGGCGUAACGAUUUGGGCACUGUCUCAACGAGAGACUCGGUGAAAUCAUAGUACCUGUGAAGAUGCAGGUUACCCGCGACAGGACGGAAAGACCCCGUGGAGCUUUACUGUAGCCUGAUAUUGAAAUUCGGCACAGCUUGUACAGGAUAGGUAGGAGCCUUUGAAACGUGAGCGCUAGCUUACGUGGAGGCGCUGGUGGGAUACUACCCUAGCUGUGUUGGCUUUCUAACCCACACCACUUAUCGUGGUGGGAGACAGUGUCAGGCGGGCAGUUUGACUGGGGCGGUCGCCUCCUAAAAGGUAACGGAGGCGCUCAAAGGUUCCCUCAGAAUGGUUGGAAAUCAUUCAUAGAGUGUAAAGGCAUAAGGGAGCUUGACUGCGAGACCUACAAGUCGAGCAGGGUCGAAAGACGGACUUAGUGAUCCGGUGGUUCCGCAUGGAAGGGCCAUCGCUCAACGGAUAAAAGCUACCCCGGGGAUAACAGGCUUAUCUCCCCCAAGAGUUCACAUCGACGGGGAGGUUUGGCACCUCGAUGUCGGCUCAUCGCAUCCUGGGGCUGUAGUCGGUCCCAAGGGUUGGGCUGUUCGCCCAUUAAAGCGGUACGCGAGCUGGGUUCAGAACGUCGUGAGACAGUUCGGUCCCUAUCCGUCGUGGGCGUAGGAAAUUUGAGAGGAGCUGUCCUUAGUACGAGAGGACCGGGAUGGACAUACCUCUGGUGUACCAGUUGUCGUGCCAACGGCAUAGCUGGGUAGCUAUGUGUGGACGGGAUAAGUGCUGAAAGCAUCUAAGCAUGAAGCCCCCCUCAAGAUGAGAUUUCCCAACUUCGGUUAUAAGAUCCCUCAAAGAUGAUGAGGUUAAUAGGUUCGAGGUGGAAGCAUGGUGACAUGUGGAGCUGACGAAUACUAAUCGAUCGAAGACUUAAUCAA